rnacentral:rRNA from 1 species
AUACGGAGGGUGCGAGCGUUGUUCGGAAUUAUUGGGCGUAAAGAGCAUGUAGGCGGUCUGUUAAGUCUGGUGUGAAAGCCCGGGGCUCAACCCCGGAAGUGCAUUGGAUACUGGCAGACUUGAGUAUGUGAGAGGAAAGCGGGAUUCCGAGUGUAGGAGUGAAAUCCGUAGAUAUUCGGAGGAACACCAGUGGCGAAGGCGGCUUUCUGGACCAAUACUGGCGCUGAGAUGCGAAAGCGUGGGGAGCGAACAGUAUUAGAUACCCGGGUAGUCC